rfam:Arabis alpina cultivar Pajares Aa.chr3_contig_2165, whole genome shotgun sequence.
UUUGUCUGUAGAUCGUUAUUGGAACUAUAAUUUCUGGUUUAGACAGAGGCUUAUAUCAAAACUCUCGAAUCAGUUUUGAUGGUGAAAAAACUUUUUUUGCCAUCAAACUCUUCUUCCUUUUAUUGGAUAGAUUCGAAUAUUU